GAUCCACUAGCUCAGUUGGCAGAGCACCUGACUUUUAAUCAGGGUGUCCCGCGUUCGAGCCGCGGGUGGAUCACCA
rnacentral:tRNA from 1 species